GCCUAGCUAAACUUUAUUAAACAUGCUAAAGUUAUUUGAUAAACGCAAUUAAGGUACUUAUUUGCUUUCCCAAGAGUAUAACUAAAGCUAUAGUAAAUUACGAUUGUGAGAGAGUGGUGGACUUAUUUUGAAAGUACAUCUUAAUUGUGGUACCUUGUGCAUAAUGGUUUUACAAGCCUUUCAUAAGAUUAGUGAUCCCGAAUAGGAGUGAGCUAUCCAAAGUCUGCUUGGCGCCUCGACCUCUCUGUUGCAAAAUAGUGUCUAGAACUUUGGAUAGGUGUUAUAUGCUAGUCGCACUUUUCGAUAGCUGGUUCUCUAAGAAAGCCACCGGAGUGGUGCGUGGAUGUGCAUCCAAAACUUGCGAUUCUGUAUGUAUAUUUAGCGUUAGGCUAUGGGGUAAGGCCUCUAAGUUUAUUUGUAUAACUCUCCCACAAGAAUGUCUAAAUGAGGUAGGCUUUGAGGAGGUCAUCAAAAGUGGGUUACACCAAGUCUAAUUUUAUCUCUGGAGUUCCUCUGGAGGGGUUUUCUAAAUUUAUUAGGGGAAGCCUAUAACUAUUUCAUGCCAUGAUGUAGGAAUGAGUAUUAGGUUUUAUAUGUGAUAAUAUUUACCCAAUCUAUUUAUAGAUGAGUAAAAAUAAAUCUAAAGUCUACCCACCUUACUUUGCAUUGAGGAACUCGGCAAAAUAAGCCUGCGCCUGUUUAUCAAAAACACCGCCACGAGAAUUUUAUUCAUGGUUCCGUCUGCCCGGUGCCCAUGUGGUUAACGGCGGUCCCAGGAUCCUAAGGUAGCGUAAAUAUGCCCUUUAAUUGGGGGCCAGCGAAUGGCUUCACGACAGGCUAACUGUCUUUAUGUUAAACAUAAAAUUUAAAUUUUAGGUGAACAUGCCUUAAUUAGAGCGCGGGACAAAAAGACCCUAUGAAGUCUUUAUUUGAGAUCUUAUCACCGCGAAUAAUUUUUGAUGAUUCUGCUUGGGGCAAGCAGUGACAAGUAAAAGUCUCUCACGUCUGGUUAAAAAUCAAUGUCAGUUUAGCGCAAGGUAAAGCGUGUUCGUGGAUAUACCUAUGAUGAAAUGAGCCAAUAUUAUUGACUAAGGGAACAGGUUACUCUAGGGAUAACAGAGAUCGCUGCACGGGGAGUUCGUAUCUAUGUGCGGGUUGGUUACCUCGAUGUUGGCUCAGGGUUACUAGCUGGUUGCAGGAGCUGGCUAAGUGGGACUGUUCGUCCUUUAAUUCCCUACGUGAGCUGAGUUCAGAUCGUUGCAAGACAGAUCGGUUUCUAUCUGCGAAUUGCUCCAGGAUUGUACGCAAGGAUCACUUGGGGGGAUGGUAAAUAUUUAAGUUGCCUGAAAGAUGCUAAGGU
rnacentral:rRNA from 1 species